CACCUCUAGCAUUACUAGUAUUAGAGGCACUGCCUGCCCAGUGACACACGUUUAACGGCCGCGGUACCCUGACCGUGCAAAGGUAGCAUAAUCACUUGUUCUUUAAAUGGGGACUCGCAUGAAAGGCACCACGAGGGUUUAACUGUCUCUUACUUUUAACCAGUGAAAUUGACCUGCCCGCGAAGAGGCGGACAUAGUAUAAUAAGACGAGAAGACCCUAUGGAGCUUUAAUCUAUUAAUGCAAUCAAAAAUUACACAAACCCACGGACCUUUAAACUAUCGACACCUGCAUUAAAAAUUUUGGUUGGGGCGACCUCGGAGCACAACAAAACCUCCGAAUAACACAUGCUAAGACCACACAAGUCAAAGCGAACUAACACUUAUAAUUGAUCCAAUAACUUGAUCAACGGAACAAGUUACCCUAGGGAUAACAGCGCAAUUCUACUCUAGAGUCCAUAUCGACAAUAGAGCUUACGACCUCGAUGUUGGAUCAGGACAUCCUAAUGGUGCAGCAGCUAUCAAGGGUUCGUUUGUUCAACGAUUAAAGUCCU
rnacentral:rRNA from 1 species